rnacentral:rRNA from 1 species
AGCAGUCGCCGCGGUAAUACGGAGGGUGCAAGCGUUAAUCGGAAUUACUGGGCGUAAAGCGCACGCAGGCGGUCUGACAAGUCAGAUGUGAAAUCCCCGGGCUUAACCUGGGAACUGCAUUUGAAACUGUCAGGCUGGAGUCUUGUAGAGGGGGGUAGAAUUCCAGGUGUAGCGGUGAAAUGCGUAGAGAUCUGGAGGAAUACCGGUGGCGAAGGCGGCCCCCUGGACAAAGACUGACGCUCAGGUGCGAAAGCGUGGGGAGCAAACAGGAUUAGAUACCCGUGUAGUCCCUGUCUCUUAUAC